rnacentral:rRNA from 1 species
AGCAGCCGCGGUAAUUCCAGCUCCAAUAGCGUAUAUUAAAGUUGUUGCAGUUAAAAAGCUCGUAGUUGAAUUUCGGGGUCAGUAGAUUGGUCGUGCCACUGGUAUGCACUGGUCUUACUGGCUCCUCCUUCCUGAUGAACCGUAAUGCCAUUAAUUUGGUGUUGCGGGGAGACUGGACUGUUACUUUGAAAAAAUUAGAGUGUUUAAAGCAGGCUAACGUUUGAAUACAUUAGCAUGGAAUAAUGAAAUAGGACGUUCGAUCUUAUUUUGUUGGUUUCUAAGAUUGACGUAAUGAUUAAUAGGGAUAGUUGGGGGCAUUAGUAUUCAAUUGUCAGAGGUGAAAUUCUUGGAUUUAUUGAAGACUAACUACUGCGAAAGCAUUUGCCAAGGAUGUUUUCAUUAAUCAAGAACGAAAGUUAGGGGAUCGAAGACGAUCAGAUACCGUCGUAGUCUUAACCAUAAACUAUGCCGACUAGGGAUCGGAUGAUGUUAAUUUUUAAUGACUCAUUCGGCGCCUUAA